UUGGAGUUGGCCACCUUUACCCUAUCCGCCGUCAUUCAUCUCCUUCUCUUUAACUCCUAUCGGAAGGAAAAUCCGUAUCGUCUUCAUCAUCACUACCAGUCUCCUCAACUUUCGGUGUUUGGGAUUAUGCAACUGUGUUUAUCGUCGUUCACCCAAUCUCCAUGUGGACCAUGUCGAUUUUAGGGUUUAAUUGUAGAUAAAUAUAUGGACGAUGGAAAUGCUGAUAAAAUAAUGGGAGUUGAAGAAGAAGGACCGGAGCGAUUAGGUGGUGGUUGAGAUGAAGGUGAAAGUUUCCGAUUAGAUAAGUCAGAAAAAUGAUAGUCAUCGUGGUGUCCGUCGCUGCACUAUUUGAAGUACACUUCAACCUGAAUUUGGUAAUUUUCUUUGUUUAUUGUUUCUAUUGGGUUACGUCUGUGUUUCUUUUUUGCUUCUAUAUGUUAACCCACAGAUGAGUUCUUCGGCAAAGGGUUCCCUCGUCACAAAUCGCUUCAAACUUCAGUUUUCAGAUAACAUUAUCCGAGCCAUAAUUUCUUCCCUAUUUUUGAUUCGGCAAAAGUUAUCAUUAGAAUACCAACAAAAACAGCAAAUUCUACUACUAGUUUCCAAGAAAAGACGUCAUCUUCAUUGUAAGAACUUAUAACCUAUUGACGCAUGAUGUGUGAGAUUUUUAGUUUUAGAGUAUUGUAUUUUAUAAAGUACCUUAAAUAACAAAUUUGAAAUUAUAGUGUUGAAGCCUAAUAACUUAUUAUAGAAUUUGUUUAUAUAUGUUAUAAGUGCAAAAUUCGAUUCCCAGUUAGCUAAAGAGGGAAAUUUAGGUGUAUUAUGUAGAACUUUGAUAACUUUUUGGAUCUUUUAUGUGAUUAACAUAUCAGAAUAACAAUAAUACAUUUAUUAAAAUUUUAGAAGAGUUAUCAAAUUUGCAACUUAAGAAUCUUACAUUUUUCACCUUCUUCAGCACUUAUAAUGAUUUGUCUUUAAUUAGGCUUGAUUUCGUUGUGUUUGCAUAUUAAGCUGUUGUGGUUUGCCACCUAACUUCAUGUUUGUUUAUUUAUACGUAUUGUUUAAACUAAUAACCAGUUGUUUGAAUUGAUUCAAUUCUUUUUAUGAGGAGCUUGGUUGAUGGGCAACAUUUAUCUCCAUUACAGAAAAAGAGGAACCCUUCUCCUUCACGAUUGGACAAUGUUAUUUGUUAUUCACCAUUGUUUUUGUUUCAGUUACAGUACCACAUGUUCAAGCUCUUUUAGAUUUUGAAAGGCCAUUUUGGCGUUUGGCAAAGGGGAAUCGCUCCCCAAAGCUUCAA